GCCAGAGCGAGACCCGGCCGGGGUCGGCCCGUGCAGGGGGCCGGCCCCGGCCGGUCCUUCCGGCCCCGCUGGCG
rnacentral:tRNA from 1 species